ensembl:lncRNA
CCUGUUUGUUAGGGAACAACAAUAACAUGACGAUGUAUGGAAACACAUAACCUGUUUGUUAGGGAACAACAAUAACAUGACGAUGUAUGGAAACACAUAACCUGUUUGUUAGGGAACAACAAUAACUCUAGUCAGUCUAAAAUCUUAAGUUUCUCCUGGUGAGUCGACUAACAAUUCAAGCAUUCAACCAUUCUGGAGUGUAGCUUAAUAGCUUAAUUCUGGAAUGUAGGUUUAGACUCCAAACAUCUGGAAUGUAGUUUAAGACUCCAAACAUUCUGGAAUGUUGGUAAAGACCCCAAACAUUCUGGAAUGUAGGUUAAGACACCAAACAUUCUGGAAUGUAGGUUAAGACUCCAAACAUUCUGGAAUGUAGGUUAUGACUCCAGACAUUCUGGAAAGUAGGUUAUGACUCCAAACAUUCUGGAAUGUAGGUAAAGACUUCAACCAUUCUGGAAUGUAGGUUAAGACUCCAAACAUUCUGGAAUGUAGGUUAAGACUCCAAACAUUCUGGAAUGUAGGUUAAGACUCCAAACAUUCUGGAAUGUAGGUUAAGACCCCAAACAUUCUGGAAUGUAGGUUUAGACUCCAACCAUUCUGGAAUGUAGUGUAAGAAUACAACCAUUUUGGAAUGUAAGUUAAGGCUACAAACAUUCUGUGUUCUGAAGUGUAGGUUAAAACUACAACCAUUUUGGAAUGUAAGUUAAGGCUUCACACAUUCGGUAUUCUGGAGUCCAAGUUAAGGUUACAACCAUAAAGCCUAUAGUGAAUUUCAGCCGUUACUAUGAAGAGUAGCUGGGUCAGUGCCAGUAGAAUGUCAGACUCACUGAUCAUCAUGUGUAUUAUAGACCUUCCUUCCUGUCUGUAUGCAAAUGAUUCUCCUUUGUUUUGGGUUAGACAGUCAUCCUGUUUUAAAUUUUGAAUAAACAACAGCCAAGCUUUUACAUCACAGCAAACCAACAAACAAACGGAUAAACAAAUAGUUCAAAGCAGGGAUUGGUUCCUCAGGACCAAUAGAAUCAUCUCCACUGGACCUGCUGACUCAGGGGGCUUUCGGCAGGGCAGUGGUCCACGGUCUGAAGUAGUGCAACAAGUAGGGAUUAGGGUGCCAGUUGUGCCGUGACCACGACAUGUCCUCACCAAACUCCGGCCGUCUCCAAACCACAAUGCAUUAUGGUACACUGUUAUCUCCAGGGAUGCAACCAGAUUGUUUCUUAAUUUUUAUGUGAGAUGAUAUGUUCCCAUGUGUUAUGGUCUCAUGUGAGAUCAUACUGUCUGUUCUUAUUAAAGAUGCAUUCUGUGAUUUUUGACCACCAGUUUUAGUAGCCAUGUCGGGCCAUGUUGGGCCAGGAAAUUGUAUUCCAUGUCAUGUAUGUGCCAAUUUGUGCCCCAUUUCAACAAAACCACGUGCUUUCAAACAUGGAAUUUCAUGGCCAACUGAGGUAUUAUAGCGAUUCUACUUACAGAUUAUGCACAUAUAAACAACAUAUUACUCAUUCAGUCCAAAACGGGAGAUAUAGAAAAAUUACUUAUUAAUUGCCAAAGUCCCAGUCUGCAUCUUUAAGUGUAACGGUCACAUGAUGAUGUGGUCUUCUUCAGUUUCAUAGUCAGGUGUAAUGGUCACAUGAUGAUGUGGUCCUCUUCAGUUUCAUUGUCAGGUGUAAUGGUCACAUGAUGAUGUGGACUUCUUCAGUUUCAUAGUCAGGUGUAAUGGUCACAUGAUGAUGUGGACUUCUUCAGUUUCAUAGUCAGGUGUAAUGGUCACAUGAUGAUGUGGUCCUCUUCAGUUUCAUAGUCAGGUG